rnacentral:rRNA from 1 species
AGUGAACGCUGGCGGUAGGCCUAACACAUGCAAGUCGAACGGCAGCACAGAGGAGCUUGCUCCUUGGGUGGCGAGUGGCGGACGGGUGAGGAAUACAUCGGAAUCUACUUUUUCGUGGGGGAUAACGUAGGGAAACUUACGCUAAUACCGCAUACGACCUACGGGUGAAAGCAGGGGAUCUUCGGACCUUGCGCGAUUGAAUGAGCCGAUGUCGGAUUAGCUAGUUGGCGGGGUAAAGGCCCACCAAGGCGACGAUCCGUAGCUGGUCUGAGAGGAUGAUCAGCCACACUGGAACUGAGACACGGUCCAGACUCCUACGGGAGGCAGCAGUGGGGAAUAUUGGACAAUGGGCGCAAGCCUGAUCCAGCCAUACCGCGUGGGUGAAGAAGGCCUUCGGGUUGUAAAGCCCUUUUGUUGGGAAAGAAAUCCAGCCGGCUAAUACCUGGUUGGGAUGACGGUACCCAAAGAAUAAGCACCGGCUAACUUCGUGCCAGCCGCCGCAGUAA